rnacentral:lncRNA from 1 species
GUUAAGAUUAGGAUUUAUUGUCCAGGAAUCCUUGAACAAUUUUAUCAAAUGCCCAUUUCUAAGUGGUGUUUUUCUGCAAUAAAUCAUACAGCAAGAAUCUAUCAGUGGACACUAGGAAGAGAUAAAUGAGUGUAGAGGAAAGAGGGUCAUCACAGAUUUUUUUCUGUAUCAUGACCUGUCAUUGGCAGAAAUCCAUUUAUUAUGGUUCACAGAUGAUUUUUUUACUUACUCACUGUGUUUUCUGUUUGGGGUGUUAGCUAAGAUAAAAUGAAAACUGGGCCAAAUGUAAGCUAUCAAAAUCCAUGAAGGCAGACAUAACUUAAAGAUCAUGAGAUACCAAAAGUAUCCAUUUUUUUCUCCUUUCAUGUAGCUGUAAAUUUUUUUGAAAUAUCUUUUUAAAAUGUAAAUAUUUUAAUUUUUAAAGUAACCGUUUCACUCAAGUAGGUUAGAAUACAAGUAAUAGAAAAUUCUGUUGCAGACUAGAACUUUGCCCCAGAAUGUUGUUUUAGCAGAAAAGCAGAAACGGUAUCUAAUAGCUGUCAAGUAGUUGUCAAGCACCCCCUUAGUGAGUUUUCUGUUCUUCUCUUACAUCCUUUCUCAUUUAAUCUGUAAUCAGGACCCUAUAAUUUGGAACAAGACCAGGUACAUGAAGAAAUGAAUGCUAAAUGCCAGGCUAAAUGCAAGAAUAAUUUUUAGGAAGUUGUUACUACUAUUAUAAUUGAAUUUACAAUUUACAUUUGAUUGAAAGAAUUCAUUAAAAUGUAGCAUUUCAAGUUUCUUCUUUAUUAUAUUUAUUUU